GCGGGUGUAACUCAAUUGGCUAGAGUUCCUGCCUUCCAAGCAGACUGUUGCGGGUUCGAGCCCCGUCACCCGCUCCA
rnacentral:tRNA from 1 species